AUUUCUCUGAUUUUACAAAUUCCGAUUCUUUAUCGAUAAAUAAAACUGUUUAAGUUUGAUGUGGCGAAAGAUGACGGAAAAUGUGGUGAAUUUCGACAAACAUUACGAUGAGUGCUCCAUAAAAAAUGUAUAUUCCACCCGCAAGAUCUUAACGUCUUCUUUUAAUUAUAGAACGUACAGGGCUCGUUUUAUGGUGGUCGAUUCUAUUACGGUCUGUAACACACGCCAUUCGCUCCAUAUAACGUAAUGGGCAAUUCCAGAAGCGUACACCUUCAUCGGAUUUGUAUUAAGCAGAAUUCCAACUGGCAUAAAAAAAGCCUAGGUCAAUAUUCGAUCACCGCAGUUACCAUGUUGGAACGUUUAACGACUUUAAUUAGAACGAUGGCUGAUUGGUAGCAAAAACAGAGCCGUUUUAACGACACGGCUGAAAUCGAUACUCGAAACGAACGUAUAUUUGCAAGAAAUAAAAUCCCAAUAUACGUUGAUUAUAUCUGUUGUUUAACCAUUUGUAUUUUAGAAAUAAUAUAGGUCACUGAUUUAAAUAUUCCAGUAAUAUGUGUACACUUUAAUUUAAUUAAUGCACGCAAGAAUAACGUAGUGACACAAAAAUUAUGAUUAAAUUAAUUUAUUCAAAAAUCAUGUUCCAUCAAAAAAUAUAUUCCUAUAACUAAAUCAUAAAAAUAAUUAUUUAACCUAAAGGUAAAAGAUUCCGCAUAUCAGUCAAAAUUUUGAGAAGCUUCACGCUUCGUAAUAUAAUGUUCAAAGAACACCACGAAGAUACUGUCUGUUCACUUAAUCGUAAAAAUAAAAUUAUUUUUCUAAG